UCUUUAUAAUUUAUAAAUUUUAAUUUAUUUAGAAAUUUUUAAAUAUAAUUUAAAAAAUUAUUUUAUUGGGGUGAUAAUAAAAUUUAUGAAACUUUUAUAUAUUUUUUACAUAAAUUAAUGAAUUUUUGAUCCAUUUUUAAUGAUUAUUAAAUUAAGU
rnacentral:rRNA from 1 species